CAAUUUCGACAGUCGCUGGCGAAAGCUAGAGGAAAGUCCAUGCUCGCACGAUCUGCGAUGAUCGUAGUGUUUGUGCUGGAUGAAGUCAUAAAUCCAGGCAGGUUGAUCCUGACGGCUGUCGUAUUUCCUAAGGGAAACUAUGGAAAUACGACUUUAAAAGUGCCACAGAGACGAGCUAUUCUGGAAACAGAAUAGGUGGAACGGGUAAACCCCGCAAGCGAGAAACCCAAAUUUGGUAGGGGAACUGAUCAAGGGGAACUGAACCUAAGAUCGGAUAGGGAAACCUAUAGAUAAAUGACUGUCUGAUACAGAACAUGGCUUAUGAAA
rnacentral:RNase_P_RNA from 1 species